rnacentral:lncRNA from 1 species
GGAAAUAGCUUCAAUUUAACAAUAUCAUUGUCAACAUCUUUCUUCUUUUGCAUAUCACACAAAUCAACGAAGCUAUUUAGAUGAGUAGCGGCAUCUUCACUAGGAAGGUCGGCGAAUUGAUCUUUCAUGACAAGAUUCAACAAAGCAGCAUUGAUUUCACAAGAUUCAGUAUCGGUAAGAGGAGCAAUCAGAGUGCUAAGGAAAUCAUUAUUGUUGGUAUUGGUAAAGUCACACAAUUUGGUAUUAUCUUGAGCCAUCGUGACAAACAAGCAACCCAACACACGAGCAAACAAAAAGCAAGCAAAAAAGAGGCGAACGAAAAAGAGAGGGUGAAUAAAACGGCAAGGGUGAAGUGGGGGAGAGGAAAACGAGAGGCAAAUGGCAAAUAAUGUAAUGCGGGAGAUAACGGUUUGUGAUGGGUCCUUGGUAUGUUGACUUUUGCGUAGACCUCCCCGGCAACGGCGCCAGAAAUCCUUCUUGCUACCUCUUGAGCACUGCGUUGGUUUUCCCUUGAAGAGGAAAGGGUGAUGCAGCAAAGUAGCCUAAGUACAGUUUUUGAGAACCAAGGUAUCAAUCCAGUAGGAGGCUACACACGAGUCCCUCACACCUACACAAACGAAUAAAUCCUCGCAACCAACGCGAUAAGGGGUUGUCAAUCCCUACACGGUCACUUACGAGAGUGAGAUCUGAUAGAUAUGAUAAGAUAAUAUUUUUGGUAUUUUUGUGAUAAAGAUGCAAAGUAAAGAAAGUAAAAUAAAAACGGCGCUAGAAAUAGCUAAGUGUUGGAAGAUUAAUAUGAUGGAAAAUAGACCCGGGGGCCAUAGGUUUCACUAGUGGCUUCUCUCGAGAGCAUAAGUAUUUACGGUGGGUGAACAAAUUACUGUUGAGCAAUUGACAGAAUUGAGCAUAGUUAUGAGAAUAUCUAGGCAUGAUCAUGUAUAUAGGCAUCACGUCCGAAACAAGUAGACCAGCUCCUGCCUGCAUCUACUACUAUUACUCCACACAUCGACCUCUAUCCAGCAUGCAUCUAGAGUAUUAAGUUCAUAAGAACAGAGUAACGCUUUAAGCAAGAUGACAUGAUGUAGAGGGAUAAACUCAUGCAAUAUGAUAUAAACCCCAUAUUGUUAUCGUCGAUGGCAACAAUACAAUACGUGCCUUGCUGCCCCUACUGUCACUAGGAAAGGACACCGCAAGACUGAACCCAAAGCUAAGCACUUCUCCCAUUGCAAGAAAGAUCAAUCUAGUAGGGCAAACCAAACUGAUAAUUCGAAGAGACUUGCAAAGAUAACCAAUCAUACAUAAAAGAAUUCAGAAGAUUCAAAUAUUGUUCAUAGAUAAACUUGAUCAUAAACCCACAAUUCAUCGAUCUCAACAAACACACCGCAAAAGAAGAUUACAUCGAAUAGAUCUCCACAAGAGAGGGGGAGAACAUUGUAUUGAGAUCCAAAAAGAGAGAAGAAGCCAUCUAGCUAAUAACUAUGGACCCGAAGGUCUGACGUAAACUACUCACACUUCAUCGGAGAGGCUAUGGUGUUCAUGUAGAAGCCCUCCGUGAUCGAUGCCCCCUCCGGCGGAGCUCCGGAACAGGCCCCAAGAUGGGAUCUCACGGGUACAGAAGGUUGCAGCGGUGGAAUUAGGUUUUUAGCUGCGUAUCUGAUCGUUUGGCGGUACGUAGGUAUAUAUAGGAGGAAGGAGUACGCCGGUGGAGCAACGUGGGGCCCACGAGGGUGGAGGGCGCGCCCAGGGGGUAGGCGCACCCCCUACCUCGUGGCUUCCUGGUAGCUUUCUUGAUGUAGGGUCCAAGUCCUCUGGAUCAUGUUCGUUCCGAAAAUCAUGUUCCCGAAGGUUUCAUUCCGUUUGGACUCCGUUUGAUAUUCUUUUUCUGCGAAACUCUGAAAUAGGCAAAAAAACAGCAAUUCUGGGUUGGGCCUCCGGUUAAUAGGUUAGUCCCAAAAAUAAUAUAAAAGUGCAUAAUAAAGCCCAAUAAUGUCCAAAACAGAAGAUAAUAUAGCAUGGCGCAAUCAAAAAUUAUAGAUACGUUGGAGACGUAUCAAGCAUCCCCAAGCUUAAUUCCUGCUCGUCCUCGAGUAGGUAAAUGAUAAAAACAGAAUUUUUGAUGUGGAAUGCUACUUGGCAUAAUUUCAAUGUAAUUCUUCUUCAUUGUGGUAUGAAUAUUCAGAUCCGAAAGAUUCAAGAUAAAAGUUCAAUAUUGACAUAAAAUAGUAAUACUUCAAGCAUACUAACUAAGCAAUUAUGUCCUCUCAAAAUAACAUGGCCAAAGAAAGUUCAUCCCUACAAAAUCAUAUAGUUUAGUCAUGCCCCAUUUUCGUCACACAAGAAUGCUCUCAUCAUGCACAACCCCGAUGACAAGCCAAGCAAUUGUUUCAUACUUUAGUAAUCUCAAACUUUUUCAACCUUCACGCAAUACAUGAGCGUGAGCCAUGGAUAUAGGACUAUGGGUGGAAUAGAAUAUAAUGAUGGGGGUUAGGUGGAGAAGACAAAAAAGGAGAAAGUCUCACGUCAGCGAGGCUAAUCAAUGAGCUAUGGAGAUGCCCAUCGAUUGAUGUUAAUGCAAGGAGUAGGGAUUGCCAUGCAACGGAUGCACUAGAGCUAUAAAUAUAUGAAAGCUCAACAAAAGAAACUAAGUGGGUGUGCAUCCAACUUGCUUGCUCACGAAGACGUAGGGCACUUGAGGAGGCCCAUUGUUGGAAUAUACAAGCCAAGUUCUAUAAUGAAAAAUUCCCACUAGUAUAUGAAAGUGACAAAACAAGAGACUCUCUAUCAUGAAGAUUAUGGUGCUACUUUGAAACACAAGUGUGGUAAAAGGAUAGCAACAUUGUCCCUUCUCUCUUUUUCUCUCAUUUUUUUGGACCUUCUCUUUUUUUAUGGCCUUUCUUUCUCGUUUUUUUUAUUCCUCACUUGGGACAAUUCUCUAGAAAAUUAUGAGCAUCACACUUCUAUUUAUUUACAACUCAAUGAUUACAACUCGAUACUAGAACAAAGUAUGACUCUAUAUGAAUGCCUCCGGCGGUGUACCGGGAUAUGCAAUGAACCAAGAGUGACAUGUAUGAAAGAAUUAUGAACAGUGGCUUUGCCACAAAUACUAUGUCAACUACAUGAUCAUGCAAAGCAAUAUGACAAUGAUGAACGUGUCAUGAUAAACAGAACGGUGGAAAGUUGCAUGGCAAUAUAUCUCGGAAUGGCUAUGGAAAUGCCAUAAUAGGUAGGUAUGGUGGCUGUUUUGAGGAAGAUAUAAGGAGGUUUAUGUGUGAAAGAGUGUAUCAUAUCACGGGGUUUGGAUGCACCGGCGAAGUUUGCACCAACUCUCAAUGUGAGAAAGGGCAAUGCAUGGUACCGAAGAGGCUAGCAAUGAUGGAAAGGUGAGAGUGCGUAUAAUCCAUGGACUCAACAUUAGUCAUAAAGAACUCACAUACUUAUUGCAAAAAUCUACAAGUCAUCAAAAACCAAGCACUACGCGCAUGCUCCUAGGGGGAUAGAUUGGUAGGAAAAGACCAUCGCUCGUCCCCGACCGCCACUCAUAAGGAGGACAAUCAAAGAACACCUCAUGUUUCAAAUUUGUUACAUAACGUUUACCAUACGUGCAUGCUACGGGACUUGCAAACUUCAGCACAAGUAUUUCUCAAAUUCACAACUACUCAACUAGCACAACUUUAAUAUCACUACCUCCAUGUCUGAAAAAAAGCAUCAAACUUCUCUUAGUAUUCAAAACACUCAUAAGAAAGUUUUUACUAUUCUUAAAUACCUAGCAUAUUAGGAUUAUUUAAGCAAAUUACCAUGCUAUUUGAGACUCUCAAAAUAAUCUAAGUGGAGCAUGAGAGAAUAAUAGUUUCUAUAAAACAAAUCCACCACCGUGCUCUAAAAGAUAUAAGUGAAGUACUAGAGCAAAAACAAUAUAACUCAAAAGAUAUAACUGAAGCAUAUAGAGUAUUGUAAUAAUUUCCGAAUCAUGUGUGUCUCUCUCAAAAGUUGUGUACAGCAAAGAUGAUUGUGGUAAACUAAAAAGCAAAGACUCAAAUCAUACAAGACGCUCCAAGCAAAACACAUAUCAUGUGGUGAAUAAAAAUAUAGCUCCAAGUAAAGUUACCGAUGGAAGUAGACGAAAGUGGGGAUGCCUUCCGGGGCAUCCCCAAGCUUUGGCUUUUAGGUGUCCUUAGAUUAUCUUGGGGGUGCCAUGGGCAUCCCCAAGCUUAGGCUCUUGCCACUCCUUGUUCCAUAAUCCAUCAAAUCUUUCACCCAAAACUUGAAAACUUCACAACACAAAACUCAGCAGAAAAUCUCGUGAGCUCCGUUAGCGAAAGAAAACAAAAGACCACUUCAAGGUACUGUAAUGAACUCAUUCUUUAUUUAUAUUGGUGUUAAACAUACUGUAUUCCAACUUCUCUACGGUUUAUAAACUAUUUUACUAGCCAUAGAUUCAUCAAAAUAGGCAAACAACACACGAAAAACAGAAUCUGUCAAAAACAGAACAGUCUGUAGUAAUCUGUAAGUAACGCAAACUUCUGGAACUCCAAAAAAUCAGCUAAAAUAGGACGUCCUAAAAACUUUGUUUAUUGAUCAGUAGCAAUUGGAAUCAAUAUUUUAUCACGUUCUGGUGAUUUUUAACAAUUAUUUUUGUGAACAGAAAGUUUCUGGAAUUUUCUGCAAGAUCAAAUAACUAUCAUCCAAGAAGAUCCUAUAGGUUUAACUUGGCACAAACACUAAUUAAAACAUAAAAACACAACUAACCACAGGCUCGAACAAAUAUUUAUUCCUAAACAGAAGCAAAAAGCAAAAAACUAAAAAUAAAAUUGGGUUGCCUCCCAACAAGCGCUAUCGUUUAACGCCCCUAGCUAGGCAUAAAAGCAAGGAUAGAUCUAGGUAUUGCCAUCUUUGGUAGGAAAUCCAUAAGUGGCUCUCAUGAUAGAUUCAUAUGGUAAUUUUAUUUUCUUUCUAGGGAAGUGUUCCAUGCCUUUCUUUAAUGGAAAUUGGAAACUAAUAUCCCCUUCCUUCAUAUCAAUAAUUGCACCAAUCGUUAUAAGGAAAGGUCUACCAAGAAUAAUAGGACAUGAAGGAUUGCAAUCUAUAUCAAGAACAAUAAAAUCUACAGGCACAUAGUUACUAUUUGCAGCAAUAAGAACAUCAUUAAUUCUUCCCAUAGGUUUCUUAAUAGUGGAAUCCGCAAGGUGCAAGUUUAAAGAGCAAUCAUCAAAAUCACGGAAACCUAGCAAAUCACACAAAGUUUUUGGAAUCGUGAAAACACUAGCACCGAAAUCACACAAAGCAUAGCAUUCAUGAUCUUUAAUUUUAAUUUUAAUAGUAGGUUCCCACUCAUCAUAGAGUUUUCUAGGAAUAGAAACUUCCAACUCAAGUUUUUCUUCAUAAGAUUGCAUCAAAGCAUCAACAAUAUAUAUGUUUGGUAAAGGCUUUAUUUUGACUAUAAGCAUGAGUAGAAUUUAGCACGGAUUGCAACAAGGAAAUACAAUCUAUCAAAGAGCAAUUACCAUAAUUAAAUUCCUAGAAAUCCAAAAUAGUGGGUUCAUUAAUAUCUAUUGUUUUGAUCUCUUCAAUCCCACUUUUAUCAAUUUGAGCAUCAAGAUCUAAAAACUCCGAAUUUCUGGAACGCCUUCUAGGUAAAGGUGGAUCAUAUUCAGUGCCAUCAUUAUCAAGAUUCAUAUUGCAAAACAAAGAUUUAAUAGGGGACACAUCAAUAACCUUUAGAUCUUCAUCUUUAUUUUCAUAGAAACUAGAAGAACACGCUUUCAUAAAGCAAUCUUUCUUAGCACGCAUCCUAGCGGUUCUUUCUUUGCACUCAUCAAUGGAAAUUCUCAUGGCUUUGAGAGACUCAUUGAUAUCAUGCUUAGGAGGAAUAGAUCUAAGUUUUAAAGAAUCAACAUCAAGAGAAAUUCUAUCAACGUUCCUAGCCAAUUCAUCAACUUUAAGCAAUUUCUCUUCAAGGAAAGCAUUGAAAUUCUUUUGCGAAUUCAUAUAUUCCUUAACACUAGUCUCAAAUUCAGUGGGCAUCUUAUUAAAAUUUCCAUAAGAAUUGUUGUAGGAAUUACCAUAAUUAUUAGAGGAAUUACUAGGAUAAGGCCUAGGAUUAAAGUUUCCUCUAUACGCGUUGUUACCAAAAUUAUUCCUACCAACAAAAUUUACAUCCAAAGAUUCAUUAUUAUUCUCAAUCAAAGUAGACAAAGGCAUAUCAUUAGGAUCAGAAGAAACACUCUUAGUAGCAAAUAAUUUCAUAAGUUCAUCCAUCUUUCCACUCAAAACAUUAAUUUCUUUUAUCGCAUGCACUUUUUUAUUAGUAGAUCUUUCAGUGUGCCAUUGAGAAUAAUUAACCAUAAUAUUAUCUAGGAGUUUAGUAGCUUCUCCUAAAGUGAUUUCCAUAAAAGUGCCUCCCGCGGCCGAAUCUAAAAAAUUUCUAGAAGCAAAAUUCAAUCCGGCAUAAAAAAUUUGUAUAAUCAUCCACAAAUUCAAACCAUUUGUGGGGCAAUUACGUAUGAUUAAUUUCAUCCUCUCCCAUGCUUGUGCAACAUGUUCACGAUCGAGUUGCUUAAAAUUCAUAAUAUUGUUUCUAAGAGAGAUAAUCUUAGCGGGAGGAAAAUACUUAGAGAUAAAAGCAUCUUUGCACUUAUUCCAAGAAUCAAUACUAUUUUUAGGCAAAGACGAAAACCAAGCUUUAGCACGAUCUCUAAGCGAAAAAGGAAAUAGCUUCAAUUUAACAAUAUCAUUGUCAACAUCUUUCUUCUUUUGCAUAUCACACAAAUCAACGAAGCUAUUUAGAUGAGUAGCGGCAUCUUCACUAGGAAGGCCGGCGAAUUGAUCUUUCAUGACAAGAUUCCAACAACACCCACACACUUGUCUGACACACUGACCCUCAUAAUAGUUAUUCUGAACUCAUUCUGCAAAUACUGGAAAACGGGGUAGGGAAUAAUAAAAGGCCAAACCAACUGUGCAUGCUGCGAUCAUAAAUAGCAACGUCACUCAAAGCACGAAACCAUGGGGACUUCAGUGCUGGGCGGGUGGGUGGUAGACUGGAUCACUGGAGUCAGUGGUGUCCGUGGUAUCCACCGCCACCGCCGCCGCCGUAGGUGGGCAUGGGAGGGACGGGGUGGUAGUCUGGGUGGGGCUGCGGCUUCGGCUCCGGCUUGGGCACGGGGUGGUAUUCCGGGUGAGGCUGGGGCUUGGGCUCCGGUUUCGGUGGCACCGGCUUCUUGUGGUGGAAGUGCUCGAUGAUGUGCUUCUUGAUCGGCCCGCACAGGGUCAUGGACGCACACUCGGGCGACGCCACGGAUGGCGUGGCGGUGUUGGCGCCGGCGAUGACACCGAAGGUGGUGCCCUCGGACACCGGCACGAUCUUGGAUGGCUCCUGGCCGGGGCACGACGCGUUGGAUGCGGCGCUGUGGAGCUGAGCCACGCAGUCGGCGCCAUGGAGGUCAGAAGCGAGGGGCACGCUGAAGGCGCCGGUGCCGUCGAGGGAACCCACCGCCUUGCUCUCGUACUCGCCGUCGACGUUCUUGCACUUGAUCGCCACCUGUAGACCUGAGGUACGUUGACAGGAUGACAACCAUGAUCAGAUCUCCAUCUAUAUAGGUGUGUGCAUUGACAUAUAUAGUACGAUUGAGGUGCAUAUCUUACCCUUGAAGGCUUCCUCGGCCUUCAUGUUCUUCCUGGUGCAGUCGGCGCACUUGGCCAGGCCGAUGACCACCGACGUCGCCUCCGCGUUGGCGAUGGCAAUCACGAGCAGGACGGCGAGGACGAGCGCUCUCGGAGCUGCCAUGCCUGAACCUCUACCACUUGUUUGCUUGUGUGAAGUGGCUGGUCGAUGAAUGGAUGGAUGGAACAGGCGACGCAUGGCUUAUAUAGGCCUCGGCAUUGAUCGAUCCAGCUCGGUGGAUGAUCUGGCUGCAUGUUCGCCGGGUGGCCGGCGAAGUGAUGCGUGACAACGAGAGACCGGCUAACUCGCCGAAAUCUCAGAUGGCGAGUUUAAUACCGCGCCCGCUGCAUGAUCGGAUCGGUCGGUGCGUGUGCCUCCACGUCGCGCGCGGUUGGUGAUCGACUUGGUUUGGUGGAGUACGUAGGUAGGCACCGGCCGCGUCUCUCAAUCGACAUGCACAUGCAUUUGCGUGCGUGCAUGCAUGCAACGCAAGUACUAGUAGACUAGUAGUACCCGGCCUGUUUGCUGGUGCUAAGCUGGUGUUGGAUCGACAUCAGAAUUGCUGUAAAGUGUAUGUCCAUUUUGGGGAGUAGGGAGCUUGCGGUACAGUACCAAUGAGCAGUGCUUUGUUGUUCACAAAUACUAGAAUGUUGUAAAAAAAAUGAGCAGUUUCCAGUUAUGUUUAAUCCACGAAAAAACAUAUAGAAGAUGAUCAACGUAUAGUUGACAUGAUAUUCGAACAAGAGAAGUUGGUAAACAGAACAGACAUGCUAUUCGACGGGUAUGGUAAACAUGGCAUGCUAGAUCGAAGGCUAGUAGUAGGUAUUGGAAACUUGGUAGGAAAAAAAUCAGUCUACGGAUCAAGUUCACAUGAUCACUAUGAAGACUGUGCAUACAAGGCUAGAUUUGAUCUUACCAACAACAAGUUGCAUCGGAAAAAGAGUUGGUGAAGAUCGCAUUCUUGAAGUCCCAUGAACAUAUCCUUCGAAGAACCGACAUACGACGGCCCCUCUAUGGAUUGCACACGUAGUAUGAACCCAUCCAAUUUGAGGAUGCAUGUAGCCAAGUGCUAAUUUCAAAACGGAGUAUAAAACCAUCCACGUGUUCAUGGUUUGAGAGUUCCGCGUCUACCUGCUACUCGUUCUACGCUAUAAUAUCUUGUGGCGGGAAAUUUAUUUUCAUCUUUUUGUUCCUCUUUUUGGCAAGCUAGUGAAGCCAAAAAUACCCUAACAUGUUAGGAUUUGACAACCUACACUUAACCAUCAAAACUAGUGGUGCGGAAGACCCUAUAGUCAUUCAAAAGUAACAAGUACACUAGCACUCAACCUAAUGCAUAUCUCUAAUAGAAAUAUUGAACGUUGUAAUAUCAUCAUUCAUCAUUAAGACACGCUAAUCAUAGGAUAGAUAAUUUCUCCCAUGCUCAUGGGGAGCUUUUUUGCAAUUUACGUAUUAUGCAAAAUUGAAAACGAACUAACUCAAUUUUGAGGAAAUAAACAUACGAAAACAGUAAAGAUGCAAGGGCUUAUGAAUCUCCCCAAGCUUAAGCACUAAACUGGCAGGAUCUAAUAAUCCCUCUCAGUCGAUGGUACCACGGGGUUUCUUCUCAGUUGUAGUGGAAGGGUUGUGUGCAAGGGCCUGAUGGAGCAACUCAUUAGUCUUCUCUAGGUCAGCAAUAUGAUGUUGGUUCAUGUGCACAAUUUCAGCUAGGUUGGCAAUGAGCAUGAGCCGGGCGUUGAGAUUGGACUUAGUGUCCUCAUCAAUCUUUUUCUCCAACUGCCUGAGAAGUUCAUGCAAAAGAUCACAGUGGAUGGGUGACCCAUUAGCAUGUACCUCAAGUCAGCAAGUGUGCUCAUGGAUGUUGAUAGGAUGCAGCUUCGGUGCAUAAUUGGGGUUGAUGAGGUACUUCUUCUCCCAUGCCCCAGGCAGCUUGCCAGAUAUGUGAGCCCCAAUAUUGAUCCUCUUGCUGGUGGUGUGGUGUGACAAAGUUAAUUGAUAGUCACCCUCCAACGAUCUAUGGAUGGUAUGGCCAUCCACGACGGCUGGGGUACCCUAAUUUGUAGUGCAGGAUUACUGGAGCUAAUAUGUUUAAGAGAUUCAACUUGAUCAUUGCCUCCUUGGGGACUUCUUCUUCGGAUGAGCUAUCUCCACCUUGAUAUCACAUUUCCAGUCAUGCUUGAGACCUCGUCCCAACGCAUCAGGAGAAGCGUCUUCCAGCUCGAAAUCCUCCUCGUGGAAGGGGCAUAAUACAUGUGGCGGGCUUCCGCCGGCUGCAAAGGUGAUACUCCUCCUAUGAGGUCGUCUAGCACUCGUCCCAUGAGAGUGUCAUGGCCUAAGAGAUGCUUGCCUUUACUUAAAACUUAAUAUGCAACUGGAAUAGAUUCAUUUGUCAAUGGAAAAAGGAGAGGCCUCCCCAAAGGUAUAUAAAGCCGUAAAACCAUCGAAUAUUCAUGACAUUAGGUUUUGGAAAAAGAUUAGGAAAUAACCAAAGAUUUUCGGGAAAGAAUAAGAUAUUUCCGCGGGAUCAUGAGUGAAUAAGUGACGUAUGUUGCCCUUCGGGCAAUCGCCGCUCUGUCCCACCCAGUACAAGGCACCGUACUACUUUGCCACCAAUCAAUAUGAUCAACCCGGCAUGCAGUGAUCAUCGCAGCACUCCAUUGCAUCCUUCGUCUCCGGCCACCCUCCACUGUACAACAUCGACCUCAACAACAAUUAUGUGUUUACCGAGUCGCCGACACUCGUUCGGUUGCGGCUUCCGUCCAAGGAGCCCAUUUCCGGUGGUGCCCAAUCAUUGUUUGGCGGAAUGCCUCCCCAAGCUCGAUGGCGGCGAUCGGGCGACGAGGCAAUGAUGAAUAUGAUCCAUAAUUGUGAUGGCCAUGAAGACGUACAAGUCUAUGACGACUACUCACCGCAUCCAGAGAAAGAGACGUUGACGGACACUCAGUAGUCGCCAGUCCUCGAUGCGGACGGAAAUAAAAAGAGGGAUUUGGCGUACUCAAACAAGGAGGAUAAAUUAUUGUGUUUGACGUGGUUAGGCACAAGCGUUGAACCAUUUCAAGGUAUGGAGAAAAAGGGCUCGACCCUUUGGCAAAGUGUGCACGAUUGGUUUCAUGAGAAAAAGCACUAUGAGCCCUACAACAAGGAAGUCGCUAAGCCAACGAUGGUACAUCAUUCAAGAAGCCAUCAACAAGUAUCAUGGUGUGUAUGCACAAAUAGAAAACUAGUGACUAAGUGGCGCGUCACUUCUCAGAGCUCAUAUUUUUUUCUUCGUGAUGCUCUAUGUGUUAGUCAUUUGAUUGAUUUUCUCUAUGUUGCAACUUGUUGAUCAUGCCAUUGUAUUGCUUUGCUAGCCCAGCCGGGUAGCCACAUUGUACCACAAGACCGAGGGCAAGCUAUUCAUGAAGAUGCAUUGUUGGUAUAAGUUGAAUGCGCAAAGCAAGUGGAGCAAUUUGGAGGAGGCCGGGCUUGCACUAGCCACCCAUGUGGCUAGGUCAAGGGGGAGGAAAUGGGGGGACGAGAAAGGAAGCAAGAAGGGGUGGCGGCCAAGACGAUAGAGAAAUUUGAGGACAUCAUGGUGAAGAAAGAAGAGGGAUGUGCCAAGCACAAUGAGAUCAAGGAGGAAACAGUUCAUGGAAAUCCAAAAGAAGAAGAUUGAGCAUAAGGAUAUGAAGCUUGCGAUCAAGCAAGUGUGUGAGGAGCAAAAGAUCUUAUAUAUACGUGAAGGCUGAUGACUUGGAUCACGACGUGGCCAAGUUUGUUCACGACUUGCAUGAUAGCAUGUACAAACACUUUGUGUAAAAGGAGGCAUUUGGUAUGGUGAGCCGGUUCAUUUGCUUUUGGGGUCGAUAUAUAAAACUCAUUGAGUAUCGGGUGAUUUUGCUAUUGGUUGCAUUUGUUUGCAACUAUUUAAAUGUACAAUCGAAUUGUUAUUGAUCUAGAAAAUUUGACAAAGAGAGAAGGGCGGACAAGUACUUAGGACCAAAUUUGAAGGACACAAUUGCAUGACACAUCCGCUCGGCGGACAGGGAGUGUACUUGAUUGAUCAUGAUAUACUGAUAUAGGAACUUCUCAUUACAAAAAUUCACACCGAUAUUACAAACCUUGUAAAAAAAAACUGACCCAUUACCCGUACAUUUGCCUGACACACAUACUUAUCCCUCACAACUGUUAUUCUGAAUGAUAGAAGAUCAAGCUAACCCGUGACAUAAAUAGCAACGUCGCUCACUCACUGACAGCAACAAGCCAUGAAAUUUCACUGCUAGGCCGGACGGUGGCAGAUCGGAGUCAGUGGUGUCCAUGGUAUCCACCGCCGCCGCUGCCGCCGCCGUAGGUGGGCGUGGGAGGGACGGGGUGGUAGUCCGGGUGGGGCUGCGGCUUGGGCUCGGGCUUGGGCACGGGGCCGUAGUCCGGGUGGGGCUGGGGCUUGGGCUCCGGCUUGGGCGGCACGGGCUUCUUGUGAUGGAAGUGCUCGAUGAUGUGCUUCUUGAUCGGCCCGCACAGGGUCGCCGACGCACACUCUGGCGAUGCCAGCACGUUCGUCUUGGCGCCGGCAACGACCCCGAAGGUGGUGCCCUCAGACACCGGCACGAUCUUUGAUGGCUCCUGGCCGGAGCACGGUGCGUUGGAGGCGGCGCUGUGGAGCUGCGCGACGCAGUCGGCGCUGUGGAGGUCGGCGGCCACGGGCACGCUGAAAGCGCCGGUGCCGUCAAGGGUACCUACUGCCUUGCUCUCGUACUCGCCGUUGACGUUCUUGCACUUGAUCGCCACCUGAAGACCUGAGGUACGUUCAUGGCAGAACAACAGUGAGCAGAGCAACAUCAUGCAUUUACGAAGUGGAGUAUUCUAUCUAAUCUAGCUAGCUAGAGCUUAAUUAGUAGCUUACCCUUAAAGGCUUCCUCUGCCUUGAUGUUCUUCCUGGUGCAGUCGGCGCACUUGGCCAGGCCGACGACGAUGGACGCCGCCUCGGCGUUGGCGAUGGCGAUCACCAGCAGGAAGCCGAGGACGAGUGCUCUUGGAGCUGCCAUGCCUGAACCUCUGAGUCGCAGCCUGUGUGAAGUGGCUGAUGGAUGAA